UACGGGGGGGGCAAGCGUUGUUCGGAAUUACUGGGCGUAAAGGGCGCGUAGGCGGUCCGCUAAGUUAGAUGUGAAAACUCUGGGCUUAACCCAGAGCCUGCAUCUAAUACUGACGGGCUAGAGUUCUGGAGGGGGUAGCGGAAUUCCUGGUGUAGCGGUGAAAUGCGUAGAUAUCAGGAGGAACACCGGUGGCGAAGGCGGCUACCUGGACAGAAACUGACGCUGAGGCGCGAAAGCUAGGGGAGCAAACAGG
rnacentral:rRNA from 1 species